AGAGUUUGAUCCUGGCUCAGGACGAACGCUGGCGGCGCGCCUAACACAUGCAAGUCGAACGGAGCUUAGAGAGCUUGCUUUUUAAGCUUAGUGGCGAACGGGUGAGUAACGCGUGAGUAACCUGCCCUAGAGUGGGGGACAACAGUUGGAAACGACUGCUAAUACCGCAUAAGCCCACGGUACCGCAUGGUACUGAGGGAAAAGGAUUUAUUCGCUUUAGGAUGGACUCGCGUCCAAUUAGCUAGUUGGUGAGGUAACGGCCCACCAAGGCGACGAUUGGUAGCCGGACUGAGAGGUUGAACGGCCACAUUGGGACUGAGACACGGCCCAGACUCCUACGGGAGGCAGCAGUGGGGGAUAUUGCACAAUGGGGGAAACCCUGAUGCAGCGACGCCGCGUGGAGGAAGAAGGUUUUCGGAUUGUAAACUCCUGUCGUUAGGGACGAUAAUGACGGUACCUAACAAGAAAGCACCGGCUAACUACGUGCCAGCAGCCGCGGUAAAACGUAGGGUGCAAGCGUUGUCCGGAAUUACUGGGUGUAAAGGGAGCGCAGGCGGACCGGCAAGUUGGAAGUGAAAACUAUGGGCUCAACCCAUAAAUUGCUUUCAAAACUGCUGGCCUUGAGUAGUGCAGAGGUAGGUGGAAUUCCCGGUGUAGCGGUGGAAUGCGUAGAUAUCGGGAGGAACACCAGUGGCGAAGGCGACCUACUGGGCACCAACUGACGCUGAGGCUCGAAAGCAUGGGUAGCAAACAGGAUUAGAUACCCUGGUAGUCCAUGCCGUAAACGAUGAUUACUAGGUGUUGGAGGAUUGACCCCUUCAGUGCCGCAGUUAACACAAUAAGUAAUCCACCUGGGGAGUACGACCGCAAGGUUGAAACUCAAAGGAAUUGACGGGGGCCCGCACAAGCAGUGGAGUAU
rnacentral:rRNA from 1 species